rnacentral:rRNA from 1 species
GUGGGGAAUAUUGGACAAUGGGCGCAAGCCUGAUCCAGCCAUGCCGCGUGAGUGAUGAAGGCCUUAGGGUUGUAAAGCUCUUUCAGUGGGGACGAUAAUGACGGUACCCACAGAAGAAGCCCCGGCUAACUUCGUGCCAGCAGCCGCGGUAAUACGAAGGGGGCUAGCGUUGUUCGGAUUUACUGGGCGUAAAGCGCACGUAGGCGGAUCGUUAAGUCGGGGGUGAAAUCCUGGAGCUCCACUCCAGAACUGCCUUCGAUACUGGCGAUCUUGAGUACGGAAGAGGUGAGUGGAACUCCUAGUGUAGAGGUGGAAUUCGUAGAUAUUAGGAAGAACACCAGUGGCGAAGGCGGCUUACUGGUCCGGAACUGACGCUGAGGUGCGAAAGCGUGGGGAGCAAACAGGAUUAGAUACCCGAGUAGUCC